rnacentral:lncRNA from 1 species
GUCAGAGCUCUAAUUAAUUAAUGGAUGUCGGAUAUUUAAAUACGGAGAUUUAAUAAGUCUAAAUACAAGCCCCCCGACUCAUCACCGGCAAUAAAGGGGUAAGUCAGUAUCGGUUCUCUAGUGGAAUGAACUGAUAUUUAUAAAUUAAUUAUGGUCUGGGCUGACCAUAGAUAAAUUAAUUUAUUUGAGGCCCAUCUUUAUUCCUUGUAUCUGGUCCCUGGACUGGCC